rnacentral:ncRNA from 2 species
AGGUGCCUGCCCGAGAGGGCGGCUCAACCUUGGGGGGUGAACUCCGCCCAAGGGGAAACGGGAAGCAGGUGUAAGACCUGCGCUGCCCCCGCAACGGUAAGUAGAGUGUGACAUCGCAACAGCCACUGUGCAGAGCGCAUGGGAAGGCGCCGAUGUCCGGUGAAACCACCAAUCUGCAAGCCCGGAUACCGGCCU